rnacentral:rRNA from 1 species
AACGAACGCUGGCGGCGCGUUUUAAGCAUGCAAGUCGAGCGGCGAGGGGGCCUCGGUCCCCGAGAGCGGCGGACGGGUGAGUAACACGUGGACAACCUGCCCCCCGGUUCGGGAUAGCCCAGGGAAACCUGGAUCAAUACCGGAUGCGAGGGCGGCCGCACAAGCGGCCGUCGGGAAAGGCGCUUCGGCGCCGCCGGGGGAUGGGUCCGCGUCCCAUUAGCUAGACGGUGGGGUAACGGCCCACCGUGGCGAUGAUGGGUAGCCGGCCUGAGAGGGUGGACGGCCACAUUGGAACUGAGACACGGUCCAGACUCCUACGGGAGGCAGCAGCUAAGAAUCUUCCGCAAUGGGCGAAAGCCUGACGGAGCGACGCCGCGUGAACGAAGAAGGCCGUGAGGUUGUAAAGUUCUUUUCGGGAGGGGGAACGAGGCUGCCAGGCAAUGGGCGGCCGAUGACGUGAAUCCCGGAAUAAGCCCCGGCUAACUACGUG